UUUUCCAUGUAUAGUCGUCUGAUUGCUGUUCGUACGGGAUAUAACCACAGCUGGCUCUGGAUCUUUUAUAAUAAUUCUGUCACUAUCAUUCAAGUUAGUUUGUAUGAAAACGACAGAAUUUCAAACCAUAAUCAUGCUAGUAAUAACUUGUUUGGACAUCUUGAACUUGUCAUGGGAGGAUGGCACUUGAGCCUCACAUAGUUGUUCGAUAAUAAUUAGAAUGCUUUCUACCAUCAAUAUAUACAUUUGCCAUUGCAGAAUCACAGGAGCAAUUUUAUCACUGUAGAAGAUUUCAAUUUUCUCUAAAGGCAUGGUAUCAAUACUGUGAGAAUACAUGUAGGCUGGUGGAUAGCUUACUAUCCCAAUCCUCCACCUCCUUUUAUCGGUGGAAGUUUGCAAGCACUCGAUAAUGCUUUUUCGUGGGCACAGUAAGCCUAACUUUCCUAAAAUCAAAUACGUUGCUGUAAAUAGACUAUUCAAGUUCCCUCGAUUCUCAUGCUCCGCCUGUCAAAUACUUUGCUGUAAAUAGACCUUCAUGCUGCACCAGGCUCCCAGAAUGGGAUGGAACACAGUUCUAGUAGAGAUGGGACGACAGGAUAGCCCACAUCAUCUGAUUACAUCUCACAAAGUCUAAAUGCAAUAGAUUUUCUCGCUUCGAGGUAUGCUCAGCAUCCUUCGUUGCUGGGGAUCGAGAUAUUAAUGAGCCAUCUGCUGCCUGGUUCCACUUGACACCCUAACUUCAUAUUAUAAACAAAGAUACAAGAUUGUUAGGAAAUACUCAUCCGCUGCUUAUGUCAUAUUUUGCCAAAGAAUUAGCAAUGCCGAUCCAUUGGAGCUCUACCAGGCUAACAUAGGCGAUACAAAUACCGUAAUAGACUUGCAUUACUACAAUCUAUUCGACGCUUUUUUUGCCAACAUGAGCUCUAUAGAUAACAUUCAGUAUAUAUACAAGAGUAGGGGAACACAGUUACAGUCUCUGAAUGGUGCAAAUGGACCGCUUGUUUUCAUCGAUGAGUCCCUUGUUCUUACGCCAGUAUCUUGAAUUAUUAUUUUUCUUUCUCGGGAAGUUGUGUACAACAUGGCUCAUUCAUUUCCAGAUAAUUGAUAUGUACAAGAAUGCAGGGGAAUGGGUGAACGAGUGGAACGUGAAUGGAUCCCAAACCGAUUACCAAGAUUUUGGACGAGCCCAGUUAGAGGUGUACAAUGUUGCUUCGUUCGGAUGGGCUUACUGGACACUUAAAAAUGACAUGAAACACUGGGAUUUUGAGUGGAACGUACGCAACAACUACCUCCAACUUCAACUAGGUUGUUCAUCAUGCAGGCGAAGUUGGAGUUAUGCGAUGUUUCUUGGAUCGGCAUUCGGCUUCUUCUUCGUCUAUGGUGUGUAGAGUUUGCAAAAUGUCGCAAUCCGGCAUUGUACACUAGCAGCCGAGAAAUGUGGGAUGAAAACUGAAGAAAAUUACCAUACUUCCUUCAAAUUGAGCUGAACUCGACUUUAUUCAUUGUAAGUAUCAUUUUUUUAAUUAAAUUGAAUUCUCUUAUUGGCCACAAGACAGCUCUAUUGACCCACUGAAUUAUUAAAUAAGUUGAAAGUUGAUCGGAAAUGAAACCGA